GGGUUUAAUGUUGCACGGACCAAAUCAAAAGUGUUGUGCCGCUAGUUUUAAGGUUGCACAUUCAACCACUGUUGCGAUAUUAGCAAGCUAACUCGGCUAAUUAAUAUGGCUUAUUUCAUAUUGCCUGUGUACUUGUACAUUUCUUUUAACUUCACAGCCUGUUAUAUUUUGGUGGAGGUUUAGUUUGGCAAUAUUUCCAGUAACUGACUGACUAAAAUAACUUUUUGGUAGGACUGUUGUGCUUGUUGUCAUCUCUUUGUCCCUAUGAAAUCACUUAAGUUGCUAUUAAAUGCUGUGUGCUGAGCUGCAAGAGUGCACUGAGGAGUGAGACAAAAUAUGGUCUGCAACCCAGCAUUAUAUUAGUUUUUAUGAGAUAGUUCAGUGUUUAUCUUAUGCUGGCUAACGCCGACCAGCUCAUAUUGACUAUUUAUUUCCAUACUGUCCUGCUCUUAUGUUUCAGACAGAAGUCUGUUUUCUUUUGUUUGAAUGUGGAAAACUUUCGUACUCUUAUCUUGGCCCAGAACAUUGAUGGAUAUUCUUCCUUUGGGUUAUAUUGGUGUAAAUGAUGAGCAUUUUGGUGUUUGUGGUUGUUGUUUUUUGUUUUUUUUCAUCAGAGUUGCUAUCAUCACUUCAUCAGGCAGUCUGCAUAUGCCAUGCAGACCAGGUUAUACAUGGGAUCUCCCCAAAAAAUCCUCCACUGUCUUUAUUUCUUGCAGUAAUGAUAUUGUGGAAUUAUUUCUCUCCCUGAAACACUUUAUGCUUAACAACAGCUCCAUUUUCACUUUUUUUUAAAAAACUCCUGUGAUCAGUAUGACCAAAUUGUGUGAGUGUCCAUACUAAAAGAGCUGUAGUGAUAAAAUAAUUGGUAUCAGAGACAAUGAAUUUUGGCAUGGUAUACUGCAGAAGGCCCUUGGGUUGUUUCUCUGAUUUGUUGCAUAAAUUGGCUUACUACAUUCCCUGUGUUGUAACAAAAAUAACAUUGUUUAUAGGUGUCAGAAAAUUGUGAGCAAACACACAUUUAAGAAGACAACAGUUUAAUUAUAUCUGAUAUGUUUUUAUUUUAUUUUAGGACUGUGAAGCCAAACUAGGUGCUGGGCAUUUAUUCUUGUCAAUGGAGUGAAAUGGUAAGUUACUUUUUUUCAUACUGGAAACACCACAGAUUAUAUUGUAAUUUGAUAGCUCUGUAGAAUAAAGCACUGUAGUGUCAAGGUACUUCUGAAGAAGUAAUAAUGGGCGAUUGAUGAUCACAUACAGGUGGCAUAAACUAAGUAUUCAGAUAUGCUACCAACAAAUAAUUCAUUAACAAAAGCAAUGGAGAACACUUUUUAUGCUACUGUGUUUGUAAUAGCAUCCAUAACUGAAGGUUUUUCAUUCAUUUAUUUUCACAGGUCUAGAUGAUCACAUCUGUUUCUGUCUUUUGAAUGAGGUGGACUUGCAAAUUUUGUACUUUUUUUCGUGGAAAUCGCAAGAGAAUCAUUGAACAUUACAGUAACAGUCACAGACAUUACGGAAGAAGCUGUCCACUACCCUGCAUAUACACAGACUGUGCACAGUAUUUCAGAUCUAAAAAAGCCUUGCGGGUCCAUUUAACAGAUCAUGGGGUUACAGAAGGAGUAUGUAAUGGACUUGCUGGCUUUAAAGUAAAAUGCCUGUUGUGUAACUUUAAUCAGGCAGUUGGACUAAAGCAGUAUAUUGUUCAUCAAGGUAAACAUCUGAGGAAUACGGAAAUUGUUACUUGCCCUUUUAAUCAGUGUUCUUUUAAAUCACACAUUUACUCCAGUUUUACAUCACAUAAGAGUUGUUUUCACCCUCAUUCUACUUUAAAAGAUUUCAAGACAGAGCUUAUUGUCCAAGAAAAUGAAUUUGCAGAAUUUGGAUCUGAAGUAAAUGUUGAUUUGCAGUCAGAAGAUACUCACAGUGAUGGCCAUGUGCCACUUCAAGAUAAUUGUGGCAGUGAAGUAGAACACCAUGAUACCACUGACAAAAUUCAGGAAAAGCUUGCAUCUUCACUUCUGCGCAUGCAAGCAAUAUUGCAUGUUUCCAAAUUAGCUAUCCAGGAAAUAAUCAAUGAGUUUUAUGAAAUUGGCAUUUUGAUAGGUCAUCUAAACAGGAAUACAGUGAAAAGGGUUUUAAGGCAGCACAAUGGUAACAUUGAUGACGACACUAUAACUUUGGUAACUGAUUCCUUGAACAGCCUCAGUCCUCUUUGCUCCAUUUCAGAGAGUGGGUGUUUAGGAUCAGAACAAAAAAGGUUGUCCUAUUUCAGAGAAAAAUUUGGCGUUAUAGACCCAAUUGAAUAUAUCUUAGAUUUAGCAUCAAAGAAAACUUUUCUUUAUGUUCCAGUUCUAAAAACUCUGCAGGAGUUGUUAAAUAAGGGGGAUAUUAUUGACAAAGUUUUAGAAAAAGACAAUACAGGAUCAAAACCUGGCCAGUACAACAGCUCGUUUGAUGGCUCAUAUUUCAAGGAGAAACCACUUCUGUCUGGGGAAGAGCAAAGCAUUUCAUUAGCUCUGUACAUUGAUGAUUUUGAGGUCUGUAAUCCUUUAGAACCUCAAGAAAAAAACAUAAAUUGUGUGCAAUAUACUGGAUGAUAGUAAAUUUACCAGUGAAAUACAGGUCAUUGCUGUCUAGCAUUUACCUUGCUCUCUUGUGUAAAAGUGUAGAUGUUAAGACAUUUGGAUAUAAGAGGAUUGUAGAGCUACUUCUGAGAGAUCUCCAACUGCUUGAAAACCAAGGGGUUUACAUAAGUAGGCUGGGAACCAGUGUUAGGGGUACAGUGUUGUAUGUGUCAUCUGAUAAUUUAGGAGCACAUUCCUUUGCUGGUUUUCAGGAGUCAUUUAAUGUGGAUAAAUUUUGUCGGUUUUGCUUAGCCAGUCGUAGUGAUAUUCAGCGUGUUCCUGUACGAAGUGGGUCAUUUUCAUUGAGAACAAAAGAGUCAUAUAAUGCUAAUGUUUCAAAGCUCAAAGAAAAUGUGAAAUUGAAAAGUGCUGAUGGAGUGAAAAAUGAAUGUGUAUUAAACAAGUUGUCUUAUUUUCAUUGCAUAACUGGGUUUCCCCCUGACUUUUUACAUGAUGUUUUAGAAGGUAUUGUACCUUGGGAGCUCUGUUUGUGUUUGAAAACUUUGAUUGGAAAGAAAUACUUUAUAUUAGAUUAUUUGAAUACUGCCAUUCAACGCUUUCCCUAUAAAUUUUCUGAUAAAACUAACUGUCCACAGAAAAUUACAGAAAAAAUACUUGUCUGUGAAACUAUUGGGGGUAAUGGCCAUGAGAACUGGACUCUGUUGAGGUUGCUACCUCUGCUCAUUGGUGACGUUGUACCUGAAAAUAAUGAUGCUUGGUGUGUAGUUCUGGAACUGAAAGACAUUGUGGAACUUUUAGCAUCCUCCACUUUUACUGAGGAAAGCCUGUGCUAUCUUGAUGCUAAAAUAAGUGAACACAGGAGACUUUUGCAAAGUGUGUUUCCAGGACAGAAACUUAAACCUAAACACCAUUUCCUGGAGCACUACCCUCAUUUGAUCCGCUGCUUUGGCCCACUGGUUGACUUCUGGACGAUUCGUUUUGAAGCUAAACGUAGCUUUUUCAAGAAAGUGGUUCGUGAUGUCAGUAAUUUCAAAAACAUUCUACUGACUUUGUGUCUUAGACACCAGCUUAUGCUGGCAUACCACUUGGACAUGACUACCCUGUUUAAACCAAGAGUGGAAGUUAAGGGAGCAUCAAAUGUUUCUGUGGACAUGCUAGCUUCCUCUGUCAAGCAAGUGAUGGAGAAGAAAUUUACAACUCUGAGAAGUGUGUCACUGGCUACAACAGCAUACAUACAUGGGACACAAUACACCACAGGCAUGUUUGUCUCAUUUGGAAGCACAAGUGGACUUCCUGAUUUUUGUAAAAUUAUUCAUGUGCUGCUUGUAUGCAACAAGUCAUUUUUUGUUUUGGAAUCUUUCUCAGCUUGGUAUGUGGAGCACCUCAGAUGUUACGAACUCUGCAAAAGGAAUACUGCUCAACUGAUGGUAGCUGAACCUGAAGAGCUUAACCACUACAUCCCAUUGUCAGCAUACACUGUACGGGGCAGACUCCUGGUGUCACCAAAGGCAUUUCUUGUACAUUAAGCGAUUCAUCAUGCUACUGCGCAUCAUCCUGAGUGAAGAUGACAUAAGAAAGGUUACCAUCGACAACUUGCCUGAAACUGUUGAAAACUUCCAUAUACUUCUGAAGACGAAACUUGGAUUGGAGGGGGACCUUGUGGUUCAGUAUCAAGACCUUGAAUUUGAUAAUGAACUGUGCAAUCUGAGUAGCAUAUCAGAACUUCCUAAAGAGAAAGCAACAUUGAAGGUGUACACAAAGACUAUUACAACCUACAACACAGACUCCACUCUAGACACAGCAAGCCUGUCAUCAUUUCUUGAGGAGGGCACCAGUGGUGGCCAAACUCGUCAGCUGCCUCAGCCAUUUGUCAUUCCUGCCUUUUCUUUUGAUGUUGAGUCAAAACUGAAGCAAGGAAAUGAAGCCUACCACAGAGAUGGAUCCUUACUUGACAUAUCGAAGGACAUGAAAUCGGAUAUCUUGGAGAAGCUGGCAGAAGCCAUGUAUGUCCACAACCCCUACCCAACACGUGACGAAUAUGAUUGUGUGGCCCAGGCUCUCAUCAGCAAGCAUCCUUGUCUCAAGGAACCAGGGUCUGUCAAUGGGUGGUACUGUUGGAAGUUUAGUUUAAAGUUCAAAAUGGGAAACUUCAGACAGAGGCUGCGAGUGGCUGGAUGUCCUGAACUUAAAGUAAACACACGUACCUCUAGUCAAACUGGGUCAAAAAAACUGAAGCAGGCCAAAAAGUCAGAGGUAAAUUUUCUACCAGGUUUUCCAGAGGGGAAAACCCAACAUGAUCUUGACAUAGAGAGAUCAGUCUUGGUCAGUGAGAUGAAGAAAAUAAUCGUUGACUGGAGGCAAAUUGACUAAAUGAUGUACAACACAUUCUCUUUACGGAGAAAAGAGAUUGUUGAGGAUGAACCUCUGGUGGCACAAGUCAAAGAAAGAUGGCCAGCCUUGUUCUCUGAACGGCAGGUUGAAGCUGAAUUUGCCCGUCUUACAUCUGUUGACCUGAAAGGCUCCUUCUUUGCUGGGCUUGACCAAUAUCUGGAGAGGUUCCUUGAGCUGUACAAAACCAAGAGCGGCAUAGCAAGGCUAACUAGGCUCAUAAAAUGCCUAGAUGAUGACAGCUCUACACAAAGGAAGAGGACCGUUCUUCUGCUGGGUCUUCCUCAUUUUCUCAAGGAAGAUCUCUCACACAUUUUCAAGACUGUGGAGCCCACAGAUAUUGAAGACACGUUCACCAAGGGGAUGAAAGUUGGCAUUGUGAUGGUGAAAGAAGAAGACAUCAUUGAUGUGUUGGUUGUCCUUGAGGAGGCAGUAAUCCUGUCUAAUCUGAGGGAUGUCCCGAGUGCCAUUUCCAUGCUGAUGGGUCUUCUUUUUGCCCUCAACAUAGACUAUCCAAAGGAACUCAAGUACACCUUUGAAGUUAUUCAGAAGGUCCUCAUGAACAUUGGAGGAAGGCAGUGCUCCUCACUAGUGCAUGGUCUAAGAAACAGACUCUUGCGGAAGACCAUGUAGAACUGUAAUUGUAUGCUCACAGCAUGCAAUUGCCUUAGCGUUAAAGACAGUUUUUGUUUUACUGUUUGUUUUUUCCAUACUUUCAAGUUCUCAUGCUUCAUUUUUGUAUGUCACUAAAUGACUAGUUUACAUUUCAGUUUAGACAAUUACUCAUGGUUUAAGAGACUUACUUGUGAACAAAAAUAUAAUAGGGGACUCUGCAAAUGCGUAUCUCAUGCAAGUCUGUAGUUUUUCCCGUGUUUUGCAAUUCAGCUGACUGAACCUGUUUCUAAAAUAUCCAUACCUUUCAAAUGUUUCAGAAGCAUUAAGUACUAAUUUUAACAGCAAUUGGUUCUGUGGAAUGUGUUGUAAUUAUAAAUAAAGACAAAUAGAGUUUGAAGUUUUAGUUAUAAACUGAUCUUUACUGUCACUUAACAGUCAAGGUUUUGUAUUAUGUUAGUAAUUCAAGUUUUAUGCUAACAGGAGUGACUGUGCACAAAUGAGGUUUAAAAAUUUUGCAAUGUAAAGAAUAAUUGUUCUAUAAUAGUUACAUCCUGUUGAUACAUUACAUUAAUAGAGACUUCAUGUUGUUAAUUUUAAUGCAGCAGUUUUAGCUCAUCCUGUUGAAAAACUGAGCUCAUGUCAUAGUGUUCUGUUGUCCAACUGUCAA